AUUGAACGCUGGCGGCAUGCCUUACACAUGCAAGUCGAACGGUAACAGGUCUUCGGAUGCUGACGAGUGGCGAACGGGUGAGUAAUACAUCGGAACGUGCCCGAUCGUGGGGGAUAACUACUCGAAAGAGUAGCUAAUACCGCAUACGAUCUACGGAUGAAAGCGGGGGAUCUUCGGACCUCGUGCGGACGGAGCGGCCGAUGGCAGAUUAGGUAGUUGGUGGGAUAAAAGCUUACCAAGCCGACGAUCUGUAGCUGGUCUGAUAGGACGACCAGCCACACGGGGACGGAGAAACGGCCCAGACUCCUACGGGAGGCAGCAGUGGGGAAUUUUGGACAAUGGGCGAAAGCCUGAUCCAGCAAUGCCGCGUGCAGGAUGAAGGCCUUCGGGUUGUAAACUGCUUUUGUACGGAACGAAAAGACUCCUUCUAAUACAGGGGGUCCAUGACGGUACCGUAAGAAUAAGCACCGGCUAACUACGUGCCAGCAGCCGCCGUAA
rnacentral:rRNA from 1 species